rnacentral:lncRNA from 1 species
CACCACCGACACCACCACAACCUCUGUCGCCGUCGCAACCAUCGCCGCCACCACAAACACCACCACCCCUGCAGCCACCACCACUGCUACCAGCACCACCACAACCUCCACAACCACCACCACAAGCACCGUCACCGCCAACGUCGCCAGCACAUCGCUUACGACCACCACCACAACAACCACCACCAUCACCACCACAAUCGCCGCUGCCACCACCACCAUCUACAAUACCACCCUCGCCACCACCACCAUUCACAACAGCACCCCUGCCACCACCACCUUUGCCG